GAUUCAGGUUGUCCCAAAACUUAAGGAGGAAUAGAAUUGGUAAAAUCGGGUUUUAGGCUUGACUGCAGAAUAGGAACACUUGAGAAGUAAAAGGAAAAUGAAGAAAAUGCCAAUUGAGCUGGAGGAAGAAAAGAAUUUCCUUGGGAGAAAGACUGAAAUCUUAGAGAUCAGGCAAGACAGAUCUGAAAUAUGUGGGCUCUGUGUUCCUUUUGGGACUGGACUUGGGAAGGGGGGAUCUUAUGAUGAUUAAUAGAUUGUUGAGUUGUUUGAGGAGCAUGCCAGCUAAGUAUGAAGAUGAUGGGAACACAAGGCUCAAAUGGAAAGUGGACAUUAAAAGUCUUUAAAAUAUGUGGAAUGGACGCCGAGGGUGGGGGAAGAGAAUUUCAGGUCAUAUCCGGAUGCAUGCAGGGACCACCUUGCAAAUUUCCCUAUUUUGCUACCUUGGAGGAGGUCGUUCGGAGGAUGUGACCUUUGCUUGACCCAUGGGCUGGACCCAUGCAGCCAGAGGCUCCUCCCACCUCCUGGGCCCUUGGAAAGUACAUUCUGCCCGCCGCCCCCACCCACAGCUGUUUGCAAACAGCCCUCAGAGAGUAAUGUGUUAUUGAAAUCACCUGGGCGCUACACGUGACUGAACCCAGUUAAGGCCUCUAUAUAAACUCCUAAGAAGGCAGUAGGGGGUUGGGUGGAGAUUUAGUUAGCUUGUGGCUGCCCAAGUGAUCCUCACAGCUGUAGCUGGGCCUUGACUGACCCAGCCCGACUGUGGCUUCAGCUUUGGAAGAGUUACAGGAAGGUCUAGAAGAGGUGAAAGUGCUGCUGGAAAAGGCCCCUAGAAAAAGAGUACUUGAUGCUCUUAUGGCUGAAAAAUCCAAGAUUGAGGCAAAAAUCAAGAACAAGAUCCAGCAGAAAUGAGAGAAAAGCAGAACUUCUUGACUAUGAAAAGCCAGAUGCUAUGAUUGCCCCUAUUACAAUGGGCUACACAGUGAAAAUCAGUAAUUACCAAUGGGAUCAGUCAGGGACUGCGGCUUUGACCCACUAGACCUUCUGGAAGAGGGUUUCACCGAGCAAUGGCCGGGAGCUGGUCACACCCAGGAAGGUUUGCAGGACUGUGCUGCUGCUGAUGCCCAGAAAUCGCAGCUGAGUGCCAGCCCGCCCCAGAAAAAGUUCAUGUGAUUCAGUAGCAGCAGCUUUUCAGGGAUUAUGGGUCCGCUGGAACCUUUGCCUUUGGGGGUGGCCGCACGGCCUCUACCGAAUGUCCUCCCAGCAGGGGAACUACCUCUCCCCAUGUGCCCUGUGGACUCCCAGACUUCACUCUCUGAUCCUGGGGAUUUACCAUUCUCACCAGACCACCACCAGGUAUUGAACUGUGGAGUUUGACUCUGUGCUCCCCAUGUUUAUGAGUCUUAAUGGAAUUUAAACCCUUUCCUUUGUCCCUUUUUCAUUCAGUCCCUGCAGCUGUUUCCACUUUUCCACUUCUCUCCAGCUGCUUUUGGGGAGGGGGUGGGUGCUUUUCCCCGUACUCCCCCCGCCCUGUGCCAUCUCCAUAUUUUUUCCACACGCAUAAGCGGCUCCCUGCUCUUGUGGCUUCUCUCUCCCCCAGUUCCCCUCUCCCCACUGGGUACCUGCUGAGUUCUCUGGUUCAGGUUGUACAGAUUGUUGUGUUAAUCCUCAAAUCCAUUUUCUAAGUGUGCAGGAUGGUUUAGUGUUGAUCUGGCUGUAUUUCAUGGAUGUGAGAUGCAAAAAAAACUUCCAUGCUGUUCUGCCAUCUUGGUGCCUCCUCUCAACAUUUUUAAUCUCAGCAUUUCUUUAUACUCUUCAAAGUUAUUAAGGUCCCCAAAAAACUUUUGUUCACAUAGGUUUUAUCAGUGUUUACCAUAUUCAAUUGAAAAUGAUCAUAGACAAAUAUUUGUUUUGUUGUUAAUGUGUUUAAACACAAUAAACCCAUUAUGUUAAUAUAAAAAACAUUUUCUUUAGGCCAAAAUCCAUACUCUCUAGAACAGAAAAGUUCUAGUGAGUAGAGCAGCAUCAUUUAUUUUUGCAUAUUUUUAAAGUGUCUGAUAACAAGAGACGACUAGAUUCUCACAUAUACAUACUCAGUCUGUUAUCAUAUGUUCCUUGAUUGAAGUAUGUGAAGAAAACCCGGCUUUACAUACCUUGAAGGUAGAAAAAAAAGGAGAAUUUGAAUCUUUUCAGAUAGUUGUAGAUAUUCUCCUCUAAUACUAUGCCAAAGUUUGAUAAGUAGCAGUUUCUUAAAAAUUAGUUGCAAAAUAGACUGUAAAACUGUUAUCAAAGGACUUUUUGUAGUGUUUUAUUAAAAUCCAUUACAUUUGAAAUAUAGCUUUCCCCAUAUAUAAUUUUGUAAACUUAUGUCUUGGUCAUUUGGAAACUGCUGGUUCAUUGAGUUAUAAUGCUGGUUCAUUGAACUGCUGGUUCAUUGAUUUUCGAAACGUUGACAUGAUUCAUCUUAAAAUAUGAAAAGUCACAUUUAUUAACAUCAACAGAAAAGUCUUUAAAUAUUGGAAAGUGUCAAGGUUAUUAUGUUGGACAUGUUUUCCAUAAUUCCUGUUUUUGCUGGAAAGCUAAUAUUUUAUCAUUAGCAACAAAUAUAGUCUGUUUUCCUCAAAGUGGUGGGCUUACUUUAUGUUUGAGAGAAAAUGUUUUGCAAAAUACUUUCUUUUUCUUCCAAGUUUUAAAAUUCCACUUUGUCUUUCUUUGACUUAUUUCAUUUAGCGUAAUAUCUCUA